rnacentral:tRNA from 1 species
GGUGGGAUGGCAGAGCGGUUGAAUGCACCAGUCUUGAAAACUGGCAUAGGUUUAUAGCCUAUCUAGGGUUCAAAUCCCUAUCCCACCGCCA